CUUUGGGAUAACCCUCGGAAACGGGGGCUAAUACCGGAUAUGACCUGGCUUCGCAUGGGGUUGGGUGGAAAGUUCUUUCGGCGUGGGAUGGGCUCGCGGCCUAUCAGCUUGUUGGUGGGGUGAUGGCCUACCAAGGCGGUGACGGGUAGCCGGCCUGAGAGGGCGACCGGCCACACUGGGACUGAGACACGGCCCAGACUCCUACGGGAGGCAGCAGUGGGGAAUAUUGCACAAUGGGCGGAAGCCUGAUGCAGCGACGCCGCGUGAGGGAUGACGGCCUUCGGGUUGUAAACCUCUUUCAGUAGGGACGAAGCGUGAGUGACGGUACCUACAGAAGAAGCGCCGGCCAACUACGUGCCAGCAGCCGCGGUAAGACGUAGGGCGCGAGCGUUGUCCGGAUUUAUUGGGCGUAAAGAGCUCGUAGGCGGCUUGUCGCGUCGACUGUGAAAACCCACGGCUUAACUGUGGGCUUGCAGUCGAUACGGGCAGGCUAGAGUUCGGUAGGGGAGACUGGAAUUCCUGGUGCAGCGGUGAAAUGCGCAGAUAUCAGGAGGAACACCGGUGGCGAAGGCAGGUCUCUGGGCCGAUACUGACGCUGAGGAGCGAAAGCGUGGGGAGCGAACAGGAUUAGAUACCCUGGUAGUCCACGCUGUAAACGUUGGGCGC
rnacentral:rRNA from 1 species